AUAAGUAUACACACAUUACUAAGUAAAAAUUUUUGCGAUAAUGAAAGAAAAAAUCGAUGUAUGGUAUGAGAACUGGCAUGUGAGCCGACCGUACGCCAGUUCUUAUACCAUAUAGUACAUUAGGUUAGGGUUACGUUACGUUGUAGUUCAGGGUUACGUUCCGAAACUUUCUUCUCUGAGGAAAAUUUUAUUCGAUGGCCAUUCCGAAACUUUUUCGAGAAUUUCUGAUUGGUUCGAUCCAUCUCUCAAGUAAAAUUUUUCUCGGAGAAGAAGGUGACGUAAACCUGUGACGAAACGUGGCUUCUCGCGCGAUUGCAUUGUCUCGCCACGAAUAUUAUCGCAACGCCGGUAAGAGAGGAGGCACUUGCCACCCUCAGCAGGCAGCUGAAAGUAUUACGAGUCUCACCGAUGUUAGCCAAGGAGGAAGGAACAAAUCUUCCUCAUACUGAAGAGAACUUAAGGAUAGAGGCAAAUGGCAACGUGCAACCGUACAUUAUGUGCAUCCAGGGGCAACAACAAACCACUUUCUUCGUCCAGGGUGACGGAUGGUUUUUUACUCUUCCGCGUCGAGCAACUCCAAUUGGUGCAUUUGAUCUUUUAUUUAAAUUAUAUCACUCCAUGUUUCAUAUCCAUCUUCCCUUUUAUAUUUUUAUAAUUUCAUUGAAAGUAUGAUUUAUGAAACUAAUCAUAUUUUUCCGUCAAGUUUGGUUUCUUCUUUACAUAUUAAUAUUUGUAAUGUGGAUAUUGCAGAUGACUAAAUAUAUUUGUAACUAAUUGUC